GGAGGCUUCGCCUAGUCCGGUCUAUGGCGCCGCACUGCUAAUGCGGUUGGGGUUCACGCCCCUCCGGGGUUCAAAUCCCCGAGCCUCCG
rnacentral:tRNA from 2 species